rnacentral:rRNA from 2 species
GUGGACGCCAGUCUGCAUGGAGCCGACCUUGAAAUACCACCCUUUAAUGUUUGAUGUUCUAACGUGGACCCGUAAUCCGGGUUGCGGACAGUGUCUGGUGGGUAGUUUGACUGGGGCGGUCUCCUCCUAAAGAGUAACGGAGGAGCACGAAGGUUGGCUAAUCCUGGUCGGACAUCAGGAGGUUAGUGCAAUGGCAUAAGCCAGCUUGACUGCGAGCGUGACGGCGCGAGCAGGUGCGAAAGCAGGUCAUAGUGAUCCGGUGGUUCUGAAUGGAAGGGCCAUCGCUCAACGGAUAAAAGGUACUCCGGGGAUAACAGGCUGAUACCGCCCAAGAGUUCAUAUCGACGGCGGUGUUUGGCACCUCGAUGUCGGCUCAUCACAUCCUGGGGCUGAAGUAGGUCCCAAGGGUAUGGCUGUUCGCCAUUUAAAGUGGUACGCGAGCUGGGUUUAGAACGUCGUGAGACAGUUCGGUCCCUAUCUGCCGUGGGCGCUGGAGAACUGAGGGGGGCUGCUCCUAGUACGAGAGGACCGGAGUGGACGCAUCACUGGUGUUCGGGUUGUCAUGCCAAUGGCACUGCCCGGUAGCUAAAUGCGGAAGAGAUAAGUGCUGAAAGCAUCUAAGCACGAAACUUGCCCCGAGAUGAGUUCUCCCUGAGAC